ACCGCCUGCGAUGCAUAACUGUCGUUGUUCGCUCGUCUUAUAUGGACUGACCACGUUUAGUGGUCGGAAGUUUGAGGCAAUAACAGGUCUGUGAUGCCCUUAGAUGUUCUGGGCUGCACGCGCGCUACACUAACAGAGGCAGCGAGUAUACAACCUUGACCGGAAGGUCUGGGCAAUCUUAUGAAACUCUGUCGUGCUGGGGAUAGAGCAUUGCAAUUAUUGCUCUUCAACGAGGAAUUCCUAGUAAGCGCAUGUCAUCAGCAUGCGUUGAUUACGUCCCUGCCCUUUGUACACACCGCCCGUCGCUACUACCGAUUGAAUGGCUAAGCUAA
rnacentral:rRNA from 1 species